rnacentral:rRNA from 1 species
GACAGAGGUGCCGAGCGUUAUCCGGAGUUACUGGGCGUAAAGCGCACGCAGGCGGUCUGCUAAGUUUGGAGUGACAGUUGGUGGCUUAACUGCCAAAGUGCUUCGAAAACUGACAGACUUGAGGGCUUCAGAGGGACACGGAAUUCCGGGUGGAGUGGUGAAAUGCGUAGAGAUCCGGAGGAACACCAAAGGCGAAGGCAGUGUCCUGGGGAGUACCUGACGCUCAGGUGCGAAAGCCAGGGGAGCGAACGGG